rnacentral:rRNA from 1 species
GUGGGGAAUAUUGGACAAUGGGCGCAAGCCUGAUCCAGCAAUGCCGCGUGCAGGAAGAAGGCCUUCGGGUUGUAAACUGCUUUUGUACGGAACGAAACGGUCCGGGUUAAUACCCUGGGCUAAUGACGGUACCGUAAGAAUAAGCACCGGCUAACUACGUGCCAGCAGCCGCGGUAAUACGUAGGGUGCAAGCGUUAAUCGGAAUUACUGGGCGUAAAGCGUGCGCAGGCGGUUUUGUAAGACAGGCGUGAAAUCCCCGGGCUCAACCUGGGAAUUGCGCUUGUGACUGCAAGGCUGGAGUGCGGCAGAGGGGGAUGGAAUUCCGCGUGUAGCAGUGAAAUGCGUAGAUAUGCGGAGGAACACCGAUGGCGAAGGCAAUCCCCUGGGCCUGCACUGACGCUCAUGCACGAAAGCGUGGGGAGCAAACAGGAUUAGAUACCCCUGUAGUCC